rnacentral:rRNA from 1 species
UAGCGGAUACCUUGCCCGCCGGAUCCGUGGUUUCGCGUACCGUCCCGGUCGGGAGCUCUAUCUCGGUCUGGUCGUGCGCGUUGCUUCCGGAUAUCACCAAACCCCGGCACGAAAAGUGUCAAGGAACAUGCAACCGAGCGGCCGGCAUUCGCCUCCCCGGAGACGGAGUGUGCGUGGAUGUUGAGCUGCGAUCUAAAGUCUAAAACGACUCUCGGCAACGGAUAUCUCGGCUCUCGCAUCGAUGAAGAACGUAGCGAAAUGCGAUACUUGGUGUGAAUUGCAGAAUCCCGUGAACCAUCGAGUCUUUGAACGCAAGUUGCGCCCCAAGCCUUCUGGCCGAGGGCACGUCUGCCUGGGUGUCACAAAUCGUCGUCCCCCAUAUCCUCUAAGGAUUCGGGACGGAAGCUGGUCUCCCGUGUGUUACCGCACGCGGUUGGCCAAAAUCCGAGCCAAGGACGCAGGGAGCGUCCCGACAUGCGGUGGUGAACUCGAUCCACUUUCAUAUCGUCGGCCCGCUCCUGUCCAGAGGCUCUAGAUGACCCCANAGUCCUCAAAGCGAC